UACAGAGCUCUCAAGCGUUGUUCGGAUUCAUUGGGCGUAAAGGGUGCGUAGGCGGCGCGGUAAGUCGGGUGUGAAAUCUCGGGGCUUAACUCCGAAACUGCAUUCGAUACUGCCGUGCUUGAGGACUGGAGAGGAGACUGGAAUUUACGGUGUAGCGGUGAAAUGCGUAGAUAUCGUAAGGAAGACCAGUGGCGAAGGCGGGUCUCUGGACAGUUCCUGACGCUGAGGCACGAAGGUCAGGGGAGCAAACGGG
rnacentral:rRNA from 1 species